rnacentral:ncRNA from 1 species
CUCAUCAAGAGCGGCGGAGGGAAUGGCCCUGUGAAACCGCAGCAACCAUUGCAGAGUAACUGCUGUAAACGGUGCUAAGUCCUGCGAGUAAUCGUAAGAUGAG